AUUGAACGCUGGCGGCAGGCCUAACACAUGCAAGUCGAACGGUAACAGGAAGAAGCUUGCUUCUUUGCUGACGAGUGGCGGACGGGUGAGUAAUGUCUGGGAAACUGCCUGAUGGAGGGGGAUAAUUACUGGAAACGGUAGCUAAUACCGCAUAAUGUCGCAAGACCAAAGAGGGGGACCUUCGGGCCUCUUGCCAUCGGAUGUGCCCAGAUGGGAUUAGCUAGUAGGUGGGGUAACGGCUCACCUAGGCGACGAUCCCUAGCUGGUCUGAGAGGAUGACCAGCCACACUGGAACUGAGACACGGUCCAGACUCCUACGGGAGGCAGCAGUGGGGAAUAUUGCACAAUGGGCGCAAGCCUGAUGCAGCUAUGCCGCGUGUAUGAAGAAGGCCUUCGGGUUGUAAAGUACUUUCAGCGGGGAGGAAGGGAGUAAAGUUAAUACCUUUGCUCAUUGACGUUACCCGCAGAAGAAGCACCGGCUAACUCCGUG
rnacentral:rRNA from 1 species